UUAAGUUAUUAAGGGCGCACGGUGGAUGCCUUGGCACUAGAAGCCAAUGAAGGACGUUACUAACGACGAUAUGCUUUGGGGAGCUGUAAGUAAGCUUUGAUCCAGAGAUUUCCGAAUGGGGAAACCCAGCAUGAGUUAUGUCAUGUUAUCGAUAUGUGAAUACAUAGCAUAUCAGAAGGCACACCCGGAGAACUGAAACAUCUUAGUACCCGGAGGAAGAGAAAGAAAAUUCGAUUCCCUUAGUAGCGGCGAGCGAAACGGGAAGAGCCCAAACCAACAAGCUUGCUUGUUGGGGUUGUAGGACACUCUAUACGGAGUUACAAAGGACGACAUUAGACGAAUCAUCUGGAAAGAUGAAUCAAAGAAGGUAAUAAUCCUGUAGUCGAAAAUGUUGUCUCUCUUGAGUGGAUCCUGAGUACGACGGAGCACGUGAAAUUCCGUCGGAAUCUGGGAGGACCAUCUCCUAAGGCUAAAUACUCUCUAGUGACCGAUAGUGAACCAGUACCGUGAGGGAAAGGUGAAAAGCACCCCGGAAGGGGAGUGAAAUAGAACCUGAAACCGUGUGCUUACAAGUAGUCAGAGCCCGUUAAUGGGUGAUGGCGUGCCUUUUGUAGAAUGAACCGGCGAGUUACGAUUUGAUGCAAGGUUAAGCAGUAAAUGUGGAGCCGUAGCGAAAGCGAGUCUGAAUAGGGCGUUUAGUAUUUGGUCGUAGACCCGAAACCAGGUGAUCUACCCUUGGUCAGGUUGAAGUUCAGGUAACACUGAAUGGAGGACCGAACCGACUUACGUUGAAAAGUGAGCGGAUGAACUGAGGGUAGCGGAGAAAUUCCAAUCGAACCUGGAGAUAGCUGGUUCUCUCCGAAAUAGCUUUAGGGCUAGCCUCAAGUGAUGAUUAUUGGAGGUAGAGCACUGUUUGGACGAGGGGCCCCUCUCGGGUUACCGAAUUCAGACAAACUCCGAAUGCCAAUUAAUUUAACUUGGGAGUCAGAACAUGGGUGAUAAGGUCCGUGUUCGAAAGGGAAACAGCCCAGACCACCAGCUAAGGUCCCAAAAUAUAUGUUAAGUGGAAAAGGAUGUGGCGUUGCCCAGACAACUAGGAUGUUGGCUUAGAAGCAGCCAUCAUUUAAAGAGUGCGUAAUAGCUCACUAGUCGAGUGACACUGCGCCGAAAAUGUACCGGGGCUAAACAUAUUACCGAAGCUGUGGAUUGUCCUUUGGACAAUGGUAGGAGAGCGUUCUAAGGGCGUUGAAGCAUGAUCGUAAGGACAUGUGGAGCGCUUAGAAGUGAGAAUGCCGGUGUGAGUAGCGAAAGACGGGUGAGAAUCCCGUCCACCGAUUGACUAAGGUUUCCAGAGGAAGGCUCGUCCGCUCUGGGUUAGUCGGGUCCUAAGCUGAGGCCGACAGGCGUAGGCGAUGGAUAACAGGUUGAUAUUCCUGUACCACCUAUAAUCGUUUUAAUCGAUGGGGGGGACGCAGUAGGAUAGGCGAAGCGUGCGAUUGGAUUGCACGUCUAAGCAGUAAGGCUGAGUAUUAGGCAAAUCCGGUACUCGUUAAGGCUGAGCUGUGAUGGGGAGAAGACAUUGUGUCUUCGAGUCGUUGAUUUCACACUGCCGAGAAAAGCCUCUAGAUAGAAAAUAGGUGCCCGUACCGCAAACCGACACAGGUAGUCAAGAUGAGAAUUCUAAGGUGAGCGAGCGAACUCUCGUUAAGGAACUCGGCAAAAUGACCCCGUAACUUCGGGAGAAGGGGUGCUCUUUAGGGUUAACGCCCAGAAGAGCCGCAGUGAAUAGGCCCAAGCGACUGUUUAUCAAAAACACAGGUCUCUGCUAAACCGUAAGGUGAUGUAUAGGGGCUGACGCCUGCCCGGUGCUGGAAGGUUAAGAGGAGUGGUUAGCUUCUGCGAAGCUACGAAUCGAAGCCCCAGUAAACGGCGGCCGUAACUAUAACGGUCCUAAGGUAGCGAAAUUCCUUGUCGGGUAAGUUCCGACCCGCACGAAAGGCGUAACGAUUUGGGCACUGUCUCAACGAGAGACUCGGUGAAAUCAUAGUACCUGUGAAGAUGCAGGUUACCCGCGACAGGACGGAAAGACCCCGUGGAGCUUUACUGUAGCCUGAUAUUGAAAUUCGGCACAGCUUGUACAGGAUAGGUAGGAGCCUUUGAAACGUGAGCGCUAGCUUACGUGGAGGCGCUGGUGGGAUACUACCCUAGCUGUGUUGGCUUUCUAACCCGCACCACUUAUCGUGGUGGGAGACAGUGUCAGGCGGGCAGUUUGACUGGGGCGGUCGCCUCCUAAAAGGUAACGGAGGCGCUCAAAGGUUCCCUCAGAAUGGUUGGAAAUCAUUCAUAGAGUGUAAAGGCAUAAGGGAGCUUGACUGCGAGACCUACAAGUCGAGCAGGGUCGAAAGACGGACUUAGUGAUCCGGUGGUUCCGCAUGGAAGGGCCAUCGCUCAACGGAUAAAAGCUACCCCGGGGAUAACAGGCUUAUCUCCCCCAAGAGUUCACAUCGACGGGGAGGUUUGGCACCUCGAUGUCGGCUCAUCGCAUCCUGGGGCUGUAGUCGGUCCCAAGGGUUGGGCUGUUCGCCCAUUAAAGCGGUACGCGAGCUGGGUUCAGAACGUCGUGAGACAGUUCGGUCCCUAUCCGUCGUGGGCGUAGGAAAUUUGAGAGGAGCUGUCCUUAGUACGAGAGGACCGGGAUGGACAUACCUCUGGUGUACCAGUUGUCGUGCCAACGGCAUAGCUGGGUAGCUAUGUGUGGACGGGAUAAGUGCUGAAAGCAUCUAAGCAUGAAGCCCCCCUCAAGAUGAGAUUUCCCAACUUCGGUUAUAAGAUCCCUCAAAGAUGAUGAGGUUAAUAGGUUCGAGGUGGAAGCAUGGUGACAUGUGGAGCUGACGAAUACUAAUCGAUCGAAGACUUAAUCAA
rnacentral:rRNA from 2 species